GGACUCGCGGCCUAUCAGCUUGUUGGUGGGGUAAUGGCCUACCAAGGCGACGACGGGUAGCCGGCCUGAGAGGGUGACCGGCCACACUGGGACUGAGACACGGCCCAGACUCCUACGGGAGGCAGCAGUGGGGAAUAUUGCACAAUGGGCGCAAGCCUGAUGCAGCGACGCCGCGUGAGGGAUGACGGCCUUCGGGUUGUAAACCUCUUUCAGUAGGGAAGAAGCGAAAGUGACGGUACCUGCAGAAGAAGCGCCGGCUAACUACGUGCCAGCAGCCGCGGUAAUACGUAGGGCGCAAGCGUUAUCCGGAAUUUUUGGGCGUAAAGAGCUCGUAGGCGGAUUGUCGCGUCUGCUGUGAAAGACCGGGGCUCAACUCCGGUUCUGCAGUGGGUACGGGCAGACUAGAGUGCAGAAGGGGAGACUGGAAUUCCUGGUGUAGCGGUGAAAUGCGCAGAUAUCAGGAGGAACACCGAUGGCGAAGGCAGGUCUCUGGGCUGUAACUGACGCUGAGGAGCG
rnacentral:rRNA from 1 species